rnacentral:lncRNA from 1 species
UAACAUUCAUAAUAAUAAUUGAAUAGCAUCUUCAUUACAAAGUGCUGUCCCUGUAUUUGUUUUAUGUAAGCCACAAAAAUGUGUAAAAGAAGCCUGGAAGUCACUCUCAACUCUGUUUUUCAGGCAAGAAAACUAAGGAUCAGAGAUUAAAUCACUUUCCAUAGUUACUGAGUUCUGAUGAAUCCUUUCUUAUUCAUUUAUUCAUUAUUAUUAUUUUGAAAAUGCCAAAGGGCUGUCUCGCUUUGUUAAUUCCUAGGGAUGCUGGGAUGCCACCCACUCCAUCCCACACAGAAGAGGAACUGGAGGUUUGGCAGGGCCAGUGCUGCUGCUUUGUCCCGACUUGACCCUCAUUACCUUCGCUGUUGACUCUGCACUGAGUUGUUGCAAGUUAACAAUGGAGAUUUUGCUCAGACCUUGGCAUCACCAGGAGCUAGUUCAAUCCCUUCUAUGCCACAUUCCCCUUGGGAAAAUUAUUUUUCUUGACCUCAACCUCCUCAUCUAUACAAUAGAGAUAAAAACUUCUUCCUAGUGUUGCUCUGAGAAUUAAAUAAAAUUACGUAGGAGAAGAACCUAAUACCCAAAUGCUUAAUAAAUGUGUAACUUGUUCCUCUUAGCUAGCCCUUGCCUACUUACAAAUGAUUGCCUGCAGAACAGGAAAGGGCCCUGAGAUCAUUUGGCUUCUUCCUACCACCCCAAUUCCAUCACCUUACAGAUGAUAUUUGUGACAUGUUGUAUUGUAUGAUAUUUUAUAUAUCUGAGAAGCUAUAGUUACUCUUUUCCAUUAUGGUGAUCUCUGUUAGAUGUAGCAGGGUGCAGUAGCUAUUAUGGGUGCAUCAAAGGCUAAAACCUUGGUGUCCACAAGUCUGAAUAUUGAGGGCUACAAAGGACAAGCCUGUUCUCAUGUGUGUAUGUGAAUAUGUAAUACAUUGUUUCCACCUCAGGCUUUAAGAAUAAUUCCAGUUCCAGUUCAGUUUCAAUUCAGAAGGGCUGAUUUCCAACACUGCUCAAAGGCAGUAUGACCACAUGGCAUUAGG